CCUAUUAGAGGGGGAUAACUAUUGGAAGCGAUAGCUAAUACCGCAUAACAGUAUGUAACACAUGUUAGAUGCUUGAAAGAUGCAAUUGCAUCGCUAGUAGAUGGACCUGCGCUGUAUUAGCUAGUAGGUAGGGUAAUGGCCUACCUAGGCGACGAUACAUAGCCGACCUGAGAGGGUGAUCGGCCACACUGGGACUGAGACACGGCCCAG
rnacentral:rRNA from 1 species